rnacentral:rRNA from 1 species
UACGAAGGGGGCUAGCGUUGUUCGGAAUCACUGGGCGUAAAGGGCGCGUAGGCGGCCGAUCAAGUCGGGGGUGAAAGCCUGUGGCUCAACCACAGAAUUGCCUUCGAUACUGUUUGGCUUGAGACCGGAAGAGGUUAGUGGAACUGCGAGUGUAGAGGUGAAAUUCGUAGAUAUUCGCAAGAACACCAGUGGCGAAGGCGGCUCACUGGCCCGGGACUGACGCUGAGGUGCGAAAGCGUGGGGAGCAAACAGG